rnacentral:rRNA from 1 species
GACGAACGCUGGCGGCGUGCUUAACACAUGCAAGUCGAACGGAAAGGCCUCUUUCGGGGGGUACUCGAGUGGCGAACGGGUGAGUAACACGUGAGUAACCUGCCCUUGACUUUGGGAUAACUUCAGGAAACUGGGGCUAAUACCGGAUAGGAGCUCCUGCUGCAUGGUGGGGGUUGGAAAGUUUCGGCGGUUGGGGAUGGACUCGCGGCUUAUCAGCUUGUUGGUGGGGUAGUGGCUUACCAAGGCUUUGACGGGUAGCCGGCCUGAGAGGGUGACCGGCCACAUUGGGACUGAGAUACGGCCCAGACUCCUACGGGAGGCAGCAGUGGGGAAUAUUGCACAAUGGGUGGAAGCCUGAUGCAGCAACGCCGUGUGCGGGAUGACGGCCUUCGGGUUGUAAACCGCUUUCGCUCAUGACGAAGCUUUGUGUGACGGUAGUGGGUAAAGAAGCACCGGCUAACUACG